CCUCCAUCUUGUUUAUUUACUUUUUUCGAGUUUCUCGGACUUUACCCGAUCAGACAAUACUCGGAAUUCACCUUGACCUCAUUAAGAUUUAGACAGAAAAUCAAUAAUCAGCUGAUUGCAUUUUAUAGCUAUCGACAACAAAGGACUAAUUAAUAAAGGUGUUGAUUGAAUUGUUUCACAAAAUGAUAUGGUCAAAUGGCUUCCGCUAUAAAUGUCACAUACAGAAUUUAUUUACAUCUUUGCGACGCACGUGUUUGAAGCAAACUUUUGACAUCUCUCCCUUUAAAGAUAGUUUUGAAAAGAAAGCUGUUGUUGUGACGAAAAUUGUUCAAAAGCAAGAAAAAUCUCCGAUUUAAAACUUUAAUUCUUUUAUCCUUUGACUUUAAUAAAGUCGUUUGAGUGACACAUGCACGUGUUUCAAGCAUAGUUGUACGUCUCAACUUUUUCAUUUACGAUGGUCAAGAAAAGAAAACUGUCGUUAUGAAAAAAUCUAUCCAAAAGGCUGGGAACAACCCCUCGAAUGAGAGUAACCCUUCAAUGUAAUGACUACACAUGAAAUGAGGGAUCAAUUUCAUGUGAUAAAAGCUUUUGUUUUGUUGUAAAAAUUACUUCUUAGUACAAAAGGGCACAACAGGAAAAAUAUAUUUAUGUUACUUGGCGAAAAAAAUAAUAAAGUGGCGAAAAAUAUAUUGUUUUGGCGAAAGAGGUGGUG
rnacentral:lncRNA from 1 species